UACAUUUUUAAAUGGGUUUGGGGGAAAAAAAGUCAAAAGAAGAGUGACAUUUGUGAAUUGUGAAAAUUAGAAUCUUAAAUUUCAGGGUCCAUAAGUGAAGUUUUGUCAGGAAACAGCCACACCCAUACGUUGUGUAAUUUUUGUGCCUGCUUUUGAGCUACAAUGACAGAUUUGGGAAGUUAUGGCAGAAACUGCGUAGCCUGUGAAAGUGAAAAUACCUAUUAUUACCAGAAGAACUUUUGCCAGCUCCUGGCUUAGGGGGACUUUCUGCAUGAAUGUCGAGAAUAAUUUCUCAGGAGCCCCAGAGUAAGUAGUUUCGACUUUGAUGUGGCACGAGUUAAAUGUGGCAGGUUUCAGAAUUACUUGGGGGAAAAUUCUAUUAUUGCAGGAGUCUGGGUAAGGAAGCAACCCCCACUAGAGGCUUUAAAUCCUCAUCUGAGCACCACUUUGGGAAGGCUCUCCGCUGGGUUUCCCGCCAUUGGCACCUCUAUCACUCUGUCCCUGUUCUGGUUUAUGUCCUGUGGAAGCUCCACUUGCAUUUACCAUUAAUUACAAUAAUUAAAAUUAAGUGGUGCCUCCUGUGUGGGAAUUUUCCAGUCCCUGAAAAGCGGCUUCCAAGUAAUUCUUUUUUCAAGAGCUCCCUCUGCUGGUAAAUUCUCAGAAGGCACCACGUCAUCGCAUUUCCAGCCGCAGGUGGGUUUGGCCGCUGGGAAGGAGCCAAAGGCUGAUUUGGAUCUAGAGAUGGGAAGCAUCGCCGUCUCAGUGCCGAAGUCAGGCUUCUCAAAGCACACCGGCAUUAUCUCUAAAGAUAAAGAAUUUCACUGUCGAAUUUGAUUGUCUUAUGUUUAAGUCAUCUCUACACCCAGUCUGGGGCUUGAACUUAGAACCGCCAAGAUCAAGAGACGCAUUCUCUACUGACUGAGCAGCCACACGCCCCUAAGGUCAGAGUCUCUGGACUCGUAAAGUUACGCUAAGGAAGGUGACAGAAGAGUGAGGACCGUUCGUGCAGACAUAUGUCAGACAAAACACAUCAGACAAAACGGAUCUGAGGUCUUCAUGUGGGCCACCAGGUGCCAACUUCAGUGUAAGCAGGUUUGUGGCAACCCAGCCUCAAGCAAGUCUCUCAGCAGCGUUUUUCCAGCUGACUCUGCUCACUUCAUGUCUCUGUGUCACGGUUUGGUAAUUUUCGCAAUAUUUCAAACUUUUUUAUUUGUUUGUUAUGGUGACCUGUGGUCUGUGAUCACUGAUGUUGCUGACUGUUUCAGGGCACUUCAAAUUGUGCCACAGAAGAUGGCAAACUUAAUUGACAAUGUUGUUUAUGUUCUGACUGCUCUCUACCGACCUGCUGUGUUCCUGUCUCUCUCCCCCUCCUCAGGCCUCCCUAUUCCCUGAGAAACAACAAUUGUGAAAUUAGGCCAACAGUCAGCCCACGAUGGUCUCUAAGUGUCCAAGUGAAAGCAAGAGUUGCAUGUCUCUCCCUUUAAAUCAAAAGCUAGAAAUGGUUAAGCAUCGUGAGGAAGUCGUGUUGGAAGCAGAGGUGGGCUGAAAGCUAGGCCUCCUACACCAGUUAGCCAAGUUGCAAAUGCAAAGGUAUAGUUCUUGAAGGAAAUUUAAAGUGAUUCUCCAGUGGGCACAUGAAUGACAAGAGAGCAAAACAGCUUCGUUGCUGAUAAGGAGAAACUUUCAGUGGUCGGAAUAGAAGAUCAAACCAGCCCUAGCAUUUCCCUAAGCCAAAGCCUACUCCGGAGCCAGACCCUCACUCUCUUCAGUCCUGGGGAGGCUGAGUGCAGUGAGGAGGCUGCAGAAGAAAUGUUGGAAGCUAGCAGAGUGUGGUUGUGAUUUACUCCUGGGGAAGAAGUUGUGAAGGAGUUGAAAUGAUAACACAGGAUUUAGAAUACGACACAGACCUAGUUGGUAAAGCAGCAGCAGGGUUUGAGAGGACCAAGUUUAAUUUUGGAAGAAGUUCUAAUGGAGAUAAAAUGCUAUCAAACAGCAAGCAUGCUACAGAAAAAAAUCAUUCAUGAAAGAGGAGUCAGUCAAUGUGGUAAACUUCAUUGCUGUCUUAUGUUAAGAAGUUGCCACAGCCACGCCGACCUUCAGCAACCACCGCCCUGAUUAGUCAGCAGCCAUUGAUGCUGAGGCAGGACCCUCUACCAGCAAAAAAAAAAGUGACCUGAUGGUCACAUUUAGUUGGUGGUUAGCAUUUCUUAACUAAGG